GGACUAGUUAUGUGGAGCUAACAGUGGGCGGUGGUGGUAUAGCACCGCCGCAUGGAACAACUAAGGGAGUAAAGAUUAGACAAUUAUACCCCUUCUUAGUUUGGACCAACGGGCGCUCUCAUCUUGUGCUCGGUGAGGGGCAGAAGGCGGAUUUUGCACUAGGCCCCCUCUGCAACCUCCAUCCUCAACAAUCGUGCUCAACUCUCCAAACUCUGUCCGGCAUGGCCUCUCGGCACCAGCAGCGGCCUACGGCUCAGCUCACUCACUAAGCACGAAAUUAUGUUAUUAGUUGUGCCAGGUUUCAAGGGGAUCCUACAUGAAUUCUCCCUCUGCGUAACAGCUACAUUUCCGACGCCUACUAUUCCCAUGUUAAAAUGGAGCUAGUAUUAUGUCGAGUACUCUAUAAACUCUUGCCCCUCGUUUUACCACUUUGUGGGUUGUGUAACAAGGAGAGGAUUUGGGCAGUGGCUCUGAUAUGGAGUAUAUAGCUUCAGGGGGUUUCGGCUAGCUUCAAAGGAUCUGAAAAAAAUGAUGAGAAAUAAGCACAGAUGGGAGAUAAAGGUGCAUGAUCUAAUCGCACCAACUGCAUAUUAAUCAGCUAGCUGAUGGAUAGAUGUAAAGACGAGACAAUAUUUCCACCGAUCUAAGUAGGUGGUACUAGAGCCUGAAAUCUGGGCAUCUAAUUAAAUGAAAAUUGAUCUUGA